rnacentral:misc_RNA from 1 species
GCAAACUUACUCCUAUGUACAGCAAGAGGAAAGUUGCAGAAAUGCUAUGGUUUACUCUUUACCAGUUGACAAAGCCAGACUAAUAGCUGCUUCCUCAAAAGAAUAAUCACAAGCAUCCGAUAAGGAUCAUUUAUACUGUGAUUAUUGUGGCAAGUCGAGACAUACGAAGGAACAUUGCUGGAAAUUACAUGGUCGUCCAACUAAAGGGCGUGGAGAAAAAAGGAUGAGCUUUACUAGAUCACAAGCAAAUGUAUCUG